UUUGAGACUUUCUGCGAAAUUUCAUAUCUCGUGUGAGUUACGAUUUAGGUACGGGUCUCUCUUCUCCAUUAUUCUUCUUCUUCCCCUGUAAAAGAAUUUGGGUCUUCUUCUAGAUUUUGUUUUUUGUGGUUCUGAGAUUAUUGUUUCUUCGCUAGAAGAAGCAUCUAGGUUUCAUUUUUUGUUGUCUGUUUCCAUAAAUUUGUACAAACCAGUUGCAGCUUUUGCUUAAUCUACCGUUUUCGAUAUUCUAAUCAACAGAUCUAUUCUUUUUUGUCUUCUUGUGGUAAAUAAUCAAGAUGAGCAGGCCACAGGAUCCACACCGCCCUUUCUUCUCUUUCGGGAAUCCUUUCCGGAUGAUAUCACCAAAGGGCUCUCAAUUGUCUCCAAGGCUUCUUUCCUUAUUGAAUGCUUUUGAGGAAACCUUGGCAGAGAGGUUGAGGAAACUUCAUCCAAAGGAUAAGAAUGAUGUUCUUAGCUUACCAUGGAUGAAAUCUGCAAUGGAAUCACUUUGUGAGACUCAUACUGACAUAAAGUCCUUGAUUACAGAUCUUGAGCUCCCUGUGACUGACUGGGAUGAGAAAUGGAUAGAUGUGUACUUGGACAUCAGUGUGAAGUUACUUGAUAUUUGCAUUGCUUUUAGCUCCGAGCUUUCCCGGCUUAGCCAAGGCCAUCUCUUACUUCAAUGUGUGCUUCAUAAUCUGGAGUCCAACACUCCAAAGCAAUUUGUACGGGCUUGUUCUUCCCUUGAUAGCUGGAGACAACACAUUACUUCAAAGAAUUUACGAGUCCAGAACUGUCACUCCAUCUUGGAUAAUCUUGUGGAAUCACUGAAUCUGCCAAAGGUUAAGAACUCAGCUAAAGGAAAGGUCUUGAUGCAGGCAAUGUAUGGAGUUAAAGUGCAAACAGUGUUUGUAUGUAGCGUCUUUGCUGCUGCCUUUUCAGGUUCGUCAAAGAAGUUGUUGGAUUUGGAAGUCCCAAACACAAUCUUGUGGGCACAAGCAUAUUGUAAUUUGCAGACAAAUGUAAAUGGGGAAAUUAGAGAGAUAUUUUCUAGUGGAAAAUUUACAGUCCUGAAGGAAUUGGAGGCAGUUGAUUCAAUUGUGAAGAAGAUGUAUCCCAUGAUUCAAGAUGGAUUAGGGCCUGUUGAAGUAGAAGCAUUUGAACAUUCUGUUUCAGAUUUGAGAACAGGGUGAAAGAUCUGGGCAUUGAGUUUCAUUCCCACUGCAAGGGAUAGAACGGUAAGUCACUAAGCUCAAGAAGUUUGGUGUUGCUGGAUAUCAGGUGUGUGUAAUCGACUCUUUCACUGAAAAUAAAACUCAUUUUACCUAAUUUCGUGAUUCAUGAUUAGAUGUUCUGUAGGGAGUAUCUAUUCUAUAUUGAUAUUUUCACAUUGUUGAGCCCUCAAAUGUUGAAUAUUGGAUUGUUAGUUUGAUAUAUUUAUCUGGUCUUUCCUGUCCACCAGUUUGACAAUGCAAAGCCUGCAUCCGGGAAGGUGUCCUAGUGUGAAGCAAGGAGGUUCCGUUGGUUUGAUGUACGAUCUUAUGUGGUUUUGUUGUUUUGCAAAUAGGCAUUGAAUGAACGCUAAAAUGCCUCGGAUCCUCGGCGCAUAUUUGGAAUCGGACCUUUAGCUGUAGAAUUGUGGCGGGGGGACUUUCUUGGCUGCCGUAUGAUGUUGAGCGCGGAAAGGUGAAGUCGAGAAAUUACGUGUGGUAUAGACAAUUAGACAUGAUGUUGGCCCUGCUAAAUUUACAGACGCUAAACAAUAAACGUGACGAAACUGGAGAAUUUUUCGGAAUUCCGUUGCCGAUUGCGCAUGCUCAGCGUUUUUCCUUUUCUCCUUGCCCCAUUUCUUGAAGUUGCUUGUAAGUUUAUUUAACAUUAAAAAGAAAGUUAUCCCAUAUCCAUAUCUGUUUCUAAGAAAGCUUAAAAUACAAAAAGAAAAAAGACCAGAAGAUUAAGGAAACGGAAGUUGGAGACUUGGAAUGGUGACCAACUUCUAUAGCAUACGUUUUACCUAGUCAAAGUCAUUAAUGUCGAUUUCUUAUUCCAGCUUUCUUCUACUUUGAAUAAAUGUACCUCGCCAAGUGUGAAGGCUCCAUUCUUGACCCAACAAAAAUUAAAAGUCAUGCUUUAAUUAAUGGACCAUAUCUGUUUAAUAUGUGAUUUUUGACUCCAGCUGCCUAAGAUCAUCCAUUAAUUGCUGUGAAAAUUCGCAUCAUUCGUGUAGACUAGUAAUGAAUCUUCCCUUUUGCCUGUUCAAAAUGUUCCGUCUAUGGUCAUUGCCCAGAUGAAAAGAAUAGAAUUUCUUUUACAACAUUUUCGCAUUUGAC
rnacentral:misc_RNA from 1 species